rnacentral:rRNA from 1 species
UUGAAAGGGAAACGAUUGAAGUCAGUCGUACCUAUGGGUAAUCAGCCUUUUGGGUGUGAUUUUGUGGAGCGUGGGGAGUUAAACGCCUUCAUGCCUGCAUAUUCGUGCACUUUGGGUGUACUUGCCCGUGUGUAAGUUAACAUCAAUUUUGGUGGUCAUAAAAUGGCUGGAAGAAUGUAGCUUCGAUCUUGUAUUGAAGUGUUAUAGCCUUCGGUAGAUGUGACGAUCGGGAUUGAGGAUUGCAACGGAUACCCUUCGGGGCUACCUGUCUGAUCUCUGAUUGUUGCUCUGGUGCCGAAAGCUUGCUUACGGUUAUCAAAGUCGAUGGUCAAUAGGUUAGAACGGGUUAAAUUCGUUAAGGAUGUUGACGUA